GGGGAGACAAGACGUGUUCAGUGAAAACUCCCUCUGAGCAAGUGAGUGGGUCCCUGCUGGGAAGGUCAUGACCCUGGGCCCAGAGGCUGCACUAGCUUGCUUGCAUUGGGAGAUGAAGGACAGACUCUGGGCAUCUGGAGAGAUGCCUGACUGUUAGCAAAGGCUAUGUGUUGCCCUGGACCUUGCCCAGUGGGCAGCAAGAGGAACGUUCACUUUGCAAAGCGCGGUUUUUCGAACGGUGCUUUUCCAGCAGCUUUAAACAUCAUGUGCUCACAUGACGCUUAUUCAAUAUCUGAUGAAAACACAUUAGCGGAACCACUUUGAAAGAAAGACAGAGAGAGAGAGAGAGAGAGAAAGGUAGCCUUGUUCCUGUUUAUGUUCCCCUACCCGUGGAGUGAGCAGGCCCAGCCCCGCUGCUCUGACCUACUGCAGGGAGGUUCAUGGCCCCUGAUACUGGAACCUGCCCAGGGUCUGUCCCCCGCCCACAAGGAGGACAUAGGUCCCACGGCUUCUGGAAAAUGGGGUAGAAGAGCUCAUGGACAGUUGGAAGUGAGAAAGACCACUUUGUUUGAGAGCUGAGAUUCUCAGGCACCUUGUGUGCUGAGGCUGGCGGGUGGAAAGAGAGGGGUCAAGUCAGGGCAGAAAGCGAUGCUGUGGAAAAGGAGAGAGUAUGAGCAACAUUGGCGCCUGGUCCUGGAUGCACCGUGCUUGGGAGACAGCCUGGGAGCAGGAGGAAGCCAGCUCAUCUUGAAGGCCCACCCUGCAUCUCAGGGAGGACUGAGCCUGGGCACCCUUCCCCACCAGGCAGAGAGGAAGCACAGCAAGGCAGGGGCCAGGCAGCAUGUGUGUCUCUAGGAGCUCCUCCCCACCGUUAACAAGGCUGCAUCAACACCUCCAUCUUGGAGUUUCCUUCCGGGCGCAUCCCAGUGCCAACCGGACUGCGGAGCCAGCCCUUCUUCCAUCCUGUCCCGCUUCGGGCCUGUCCCCCUCCUUGGUCCCAGCCACAAGGACCAUUUCUAAGUGCCUCGCGGAGCAGAGACACAGGCUCAGACCUGCCAGCCAACCCCCUUGCCUAGCGCUGUUCUGCAAAUAGAGCCCAACUGAUUUCUCAACAUCGGUGAGGGAGCAGAGGAAACCGGUGGGGAGGGUAUCAUUGCAGUUGGAGGGAUCAGUAAUCCUGGGGGAUUAUUCACAGACACUAGCCUGGGACCAAGGAGCCCCCUGGCUCUUCUAAAAUGCCGGGACAGUCCUGGCAGUCAGCCGGGCCCCACCUGAAGCUCUGCUUUCAAAAGGUCGAGAAGAAGAGGAAGGGGCUUUCCCUCUCCCGGGCCCUCCGCCUCUGUCUGCUCCCGUGGGGCCCAGGGCCUCUGUCCCCAGGGACAAAGGAGCCCUGGCUGAAGCUCUGGGCCCCUUUCACGUCGAGGCUGGGGACUGCUAAUAACCCACGAAUGACUCACAAAUAACAGGAAAGCUAUUGCAAAUCUUCACAUGUAAGCACUCAGCAACCACCCCCACUCGCAGCUCAGAGAGAGCCAAGCCAGGCCUGGGGCUCCGGAGGGGCAGAGCCCCCGAGGGCUGGUGUCCCGGGGUCUCUGGGCGAGAGCAGAGCUUGAAGAGGAGGUCUCAGGACGAGCCCAGAGGAGCCAGAGCCGGCCUGCUACUCACACAGCGCCGCAGCCGCAGCCGGAGGGUCUUCAGCUUCUCCCCCAGCGAGUUCACGUGCUCCUUGAUGUCAGGCCCGUGGUUCUCAGCCUGUGGCAUCACCUCUUCCAGUGAAGGAAGCAGACCCAGCUCCCUGCAGGCAAAGAAGCAGAGUCUGCCUUAGGCACACCGCACGCUCCUUGCCCCCACCAAACGCACUCACCCCAGCCCUCACCUUAAAGUCAUCCAGCAGAGACUGGGUCAACAGUAAGCUGUCCAGUUGGUCCUUCAUUUGCUGCAAGAAGAACAGAAGGAGAGUGAACCCAAGUUUUACAGAGGGGAAACUGGAAGUUAGAGAGAAAGCUGAAAUAACUUGGCCCAAGCUCACUCAGCUAAGAAGUGGCUGUGAUUCAAGCGCAGGCAGCCUGACCCUCAGCUCUCACUCUCGCUAUGUUGCAUCCCUAGACCACGGCUCGAGGUGUCCUGCAGGAUGGAGGAUAAAUGUUUGAGUGUUCUCAUAGGAUUCCAAGAAGACACAGAGGGACCAUUUACAUACGAGUCUGUGUGUUCUCGCCAUGGACACCUGUGGAUCUGUGUAAGCUUGCGUGUGUGCAAAAACUUCUGCACUCUGUUCCAUGGGACCAGCUCUCUCUGCAUCUCUGAGAAAAGUCUACAGCUACACAGCUCUGAAGAUGACUUGUCUUCAGUCCUUAAGUAUUUGUCUGGUCAGUGAUCUGAAGGCUCCAUUCUGGCUCCUGGGAGAUACUGCAAGUGGCCACCCUCCGAUCAGCUACAUCCAGGGGACCUGGGUCGUGAGGCUUCCAGGGUCACAACACACUGGGAAGACGGUACAAAUGGCUCCCCAAGACAAACAGCUCGGCCUCCAUGAAGACCCCUGCCCAGCUCCUCUCUCCUGAGCUCCCACGGUACUUUUCUUGCCCCCUUCUGUGGCACUUAUUGUUUCCUACCUUGUGUGAGUAUUGCUUUCACAAACAUCUUAUCCCCCCAUCCCAUGUAUCACUAAGCUUCUCUUUUAUCUUUAUAAACCUCACAGCUUGUGCAGAAAACCUGGGCAGGUACUGAAUACAUCUUUGAAGUCAUGAUAAUCCUCAAAUAAAAUAAGUUUUUAAGAGGCUGAA